CCUACGGGUGGCAGCAGUGAGGAAUAUUGGUCAAUGGCCGGAAGGCUGAACCAGCCAUGCCGCGUGAAGGUCAGUGCCCUAUGGGCGUUAAACUUCUUUUGUGCGGGAGCAAUAAUGGUCACGUGUGGCCAGACGAGAGUACCGUACGAAUAAGCAUCGGCUAACUCCGUGCCAGCAGCCGCGGUAAUACGGGGAAUGCAAGCGUUAUCCGGAUUUAUUGGGUUUAAAGGUUUCGUAGGCUGUGAGGUAAGUCGGCGGUAAAAUGCCCCGCUUAACGGGGUGAAGUGACAUUGAUACUGCCUGGCGGGAAGGCGGAUGCCGUGGGAGGAAGGUGUGGUGUAGCGGUGAAAUGCAUAGAUAUCACACAGAACACCGAUUGCGAAGGCAUCUCACGAAUCCGCGAUUGACGCUGAUGCACGAAAGCGUGGGUAUCAAACAGGAUUAGAUACCCGUGUAGUC
rnacentral:rRNA from 1 species